rnacentral:rRNA from 1 species
AGUGAACGCUGGCGGCGUGCCUAAUACAUGCAAGUCGAACGGAGUGGCGCACGGGUGAGUAAUAUGUAGCUAAUCUGCCCCUUGCUGGAGGACUACAGUUAGAAAUGGCUGCUAAUACUCCAUAGGAAGGGGUGGGACUAUAUCGUAUCAGCUAGUCGGGGGGGUAACGGCGUACCGAGGGUAUGACGCGCAACUGGUCUGAGAGGAGGUUCAGUCACAUUGGAACUGAGACACGGGUGAGACUCCUACGGGAGGGAGCAGAAGGGAAUAUUGCGCAAUGGGGGAAACCCUGACGCAGCAACGCCGCGUGGAGGACGACACUUUGCGGAGCGUAAACUCCUGUUGUUAGGGAAGCGGUACCUAACGAAUAAGCACCGGCUAACUCCGUGCCAGCAGCCGCGGUAAUAC